AUGGGACAUGGUUGUGACUAUGUUGAUGUGGUGCUCGUCUGGUUGAUGCUCUAUGCCCUGCUCAUGCAUCGGUUCCUACACAUAAAUCCCCAAGACCAACUUUGGUUGAUGCUAAAAUGUGAUGAGGUGGGGGUGCGGCGGUCUGCAUCCACGCGCUGCUCGGCAUCACCAGGUCGUCGGCACAUAUCCUCGUGCCCAUGCUGUUCAACACGCCGCAGCUCUUGCCCACAGAUCCUCGAGAGUAAUGGAAUGUUGAUUGGCUGGUGGCGGCAUGUUCAAGUAUGGGAAAUGAUGAGCUCGUGCUUAUUUUUAUGCCAGCUCUAUGCCGUAGAACCGUUAAAGUCUGAGCUAGGAUUUUGA
rnacentral:rRNA from 1 species